UAGAGAUGGUUUUUUGUUGUUGUUGUUUUUUUUUUGCUUUUAUUUACCUAGAAAAAACCUGCAGAAUUUUACAGCAAACUUCAAUUCCAUAAAAGUUUUCCUCAUUUUAUGCAUAGACUUGCCAUUCAAAAAAAAAAAAAACUUUUAAUACAACUACUGUCUUUCAUUCCUCACUCCAAAUUUUCCUUGUUGAUCUCAUAGUUCUCCAGAACUUCCUUUCCUCCUGAGACAUUUUCUUCCGGAACCCCAAAUUCAUAUUUGCUGAUGUAUUUGUCUUUUAUAAGUUCUUCUAGGUCAGUGAAAGUCUUAUUCCACUCACAUAAAUCCCUACAAGUGGCUGAAGUGUAUUGAGGACUUCUCUUUAUUUUAAGUUUUUUAGGUGGAAAAUUCUGCCAGUGGAAGGUUGGAGCUGAUGCAUCCAUAUCACAUUCACAAGAUGCGGUCCCUCGGAAAUGCUCAGAGACCUCUGCAGCAUCAACACGGGCCGAUGAUGUUCUCUAAAUGCUUUGCACAGUGUCUCGUAGAUUCCUUGGCUUUGUCAGCUGGCGCUGGUUUGUAUGCAGUGGCACUGAUGACUUUAUAAAAACAAAUGACAGAGUUGUUUACACGGCCUUAGUAAAGGAAAUAAUCGCAUUUAAUAGCGCUGGUUUCCCAUACAGGGCUUUAAAAAGGGGCUCCCGUGCUGUAUGCUGUAAUAAGCUUUUUAUAAAUGUGUUCAUGUGGUGCUCAGUACAGCCUGCUGUGCUGAUACUAUAAAACCAAAGGAGAGCUUCAUAAGCUUUAAGUGCAAUCAUAUAUUACUGUGCAGCAGCAUUCCCUUGUAUUAAUAAAGUUUGUAAGAAAACCCAGGCAAAGAUUAAAAAUACAUGUAUGACGCUAUCCACGGUAAUAAAAGCUGAUGUUGUCUGGA